rnacentral:rRNA from 1 species
UAAGGAAUAUUGGUCAAUGGACGCAAGUCUGAACCAGCCAUGCCGCGUGGAGGAUGAAGGCCCUCUGGGUUGUAAACUUCUUUUAUUUGGGAAGAAAUCUGAAUUUUCCAAUUCAGUUGACGGUACCAAGUGAAUAAGCACCGGCUAACUCCGUGCCAGCAGCCGCGGUAAUACGGAGGGUGCAAGCGUUAUCCGGAUUCACUGGGUUUAAAGGGUGCGUAGGUGGGCAGGUAAGUCAGUGGUGAAAUCUUUGGGCUUAACCCGAAAACUGCCAUUGAUACUAUCUGUCUUGAAUGUUGUGGAGGUGAGCGGAAUAUGUCAUGUAGCGGUGAAAUGCUUAGAUAUGACAUAGAACAUCGAUUGCGAAGGCAGCUCGCUACGCAAAUAUUGACACUGAGGCACGAAAGCGUGGGGAUCAAACAGGAUUAGAUACCCCUGUAGUCC